rnacentral:rRNA from 1 species
AUGAAAAGACGCAAAUGGGUGGGGAACCCCAGAUGUUCCUUCUGUCAGAACAGAGAAACUUCUCAACAUCUCUUCUUCACCUGUCCAGUUGCAAGGGUGGUUUGGAGAACGGUUGGCUGUGUGUUUGGCACAGAUUUGUGCCCGGAUAACAUAUGGCAAUAUUUCUCUUGGUGCUAUACUUUCUUACCUGAUGGUGUCAUAUUCUAUACUUUUGGCCUAGCUGCGAUCUGCUGGGCCAUGUGGAUUUGUCGUAAUAGGGCCACUUUCGAAGGCAAAAAGUUGAGAUCCCCUUUUGAUGUGGUCUUUUCUGCAUGUGGCUACAUGAACUACUGGGCAGGUCUGAUGGUGGGAGCUGAUCGAGAGGCGAUGGAGCGCGGCGCUAAGAUGCUCAAGACCAACACUGCUGCCAUGAUGAGGAUUUGUGCAGCCCCAGCUAGAUCAGCGAUGGACUAA